rnacentral:lncRNA from 1 species
AUAUAUAUAUAUAGUAGAGCUAGAAUACUUGUAAAAUUAUCACCCAAGUGAUACUUAUGUGUUUUUAGCCUUUGAAUGGAGAGAUGUGAGAUUGAGAUGAUGGUGGUAGGUGGUGGUAGGUGGAAUAGUGUUUAAUCCAAGGGCUAUUAAUAAUCAAAAAGUAGAUCCAAUGGCUAAAAACACACAAGUAUCACUUGGGUGAUACUUGUAAAAGUAUUCUAGGCCUACUCUCUCUCUCUCUCUCUCUAUAUAUAUAUAUAUAUGCACAAUUUUUUUUUUUCUAUAACAAUGCAUAAUAAAGUAAGCAUUAGACUAGUGUACCAAAGAUGCAACGUACUUAAAAGUUUGAUAAGAAAUCUGAAACAAAUUACCAGUCUCAAUUGCAUUAUAUUGUGAGCAUCAAUGCAUUAAUAAUUCACCAACGGUCCUUAGUGCAAGUGACAAAAAAUUUAAUGAUUGGUACUUCAAGUUCUAAAUUCGAAAUCUGGUUGCUUUAUAUUUUCAACUAAGUUUAUUUAUAAAAAAAUAAACAAAGCGGAUAUAUAGCUUGCUACUUUUUUUCUAAAUUUUUUUUUUUUUUUAUCUGUAUUGAGUUAUAGUGACGAUGUGUUGUCAGACAGAUAAAACUUUUUAUUCUGCAAGCCUGAAUCGCUUUGGAUUUCUCACAAUAUUAUCUUUAUAUAACAUUAAUGUAUUGAUAUAUAUUAUAUAAAGAUUUUUGAUUAACUCGUGCAUGCAUGUUUCAAUGCUAUACGUGCUUAUCAACAUUAGUUUAAAUCAGUCACUAGUCAUAUCAUAUGAGAAAUGCUAAUUAUUAUAUAUUUGAAAAUAGAGUGUAAAUUUUAUACUUACGAAUUUAUAAAUUUUUAAAAGUAU